rnacentral:rRNA from 1 species
AGAGUUCGAUCCUGGCUCAGGAUGAACGCUGGCGGCGUGCUUAACACAUGCAAGUCGAACGAGAAAUGAUAUUACGAUCUCUUCGGAGUGACGGUUUUAUUUCGAGUGGCGGACGGGUGAGUAACGCGUGAGCAACCUGCCCUGUACCGGGGGAUACCAGUUGGAAACGACUGUUAAUACCGCAUAAGCGCACGAUAAGACAUCUUGUUGUGUGAAAAACUCCGGUGGUAUAGGAUGGGCUCGCGUAUGAUUAGCCAGUUGGCGGGGUAAAGGCCCACCAAAGCGACGAUCAUUAGCCGACCUGAGAGGGCGACCGGCCACAUUGGGACUGAGACACGGCCCAAACUCCUACGGGAGGCAGCAGUGGGGAAUAUUGCACAAUGGGCGAAAGCCUGAUGCAGCGACGCCGCGUGAGUGAGGAAGUAUUUCGGUAUGUAAAGCUCUAUCAGCAGGGAAGAAAGAAAUGACGGUACCUGAGUAAGAAGCUCCGGCUAAAUACGUGCCAGCAGCCGCGGUAAUACGUAUGGAGCAAGCGUUAUCCGGAUUUACUGGGUGUAAAGGGAGCGUAGGCGGCAGAGCAAGUCUGAUGUGAAAGCCCGGGGCUCAACCCCGGUAGUGCAUUGGAAACUGUUCAGCUUGAGUGUCGGAGGGGUAAGCGGAAUUCCUGGUGUAGCGGUGAAAUGCGUAGAUAUCAGGAAGAACACCGGAGGCGAAGGCGGCUUACUGGACGAUUACUGACGCUGAGGCUCGAAAGCGUGGGGAGCGAACAGGAUUAGAUACCCUGGUAGUCCACGCUGUAAACGAUGAAUACUAGGUGUCGGUACCCGAAGGGUAUCGGUGCCGUCGCAAACGCAUUAAGUAUUCCACCUGGGGAGUACGUUCGCAAGAAUGAAAC